AUGGCCGGUGGUAAAGGAGUGCAGCAACGCACCACCUCAGGUGGUUCCCAGUCGCCGGCUCCGGAGGAGCGGCGAGGGCGCAGCCGCUCCAGGCGCGGCCAUCGCGGUGAGGUCGUGGUUAGGGAGAUCGUGCGCGAGACCGCAAUCAGCGGUAGCGUGCCCAUCACCUUCCCGAUGCUCACGCGCUCGAACUACAGCGAGUGGGCGUUGAUCAUGGAGUGCAACCUUCAUGCGGCGAGCCUCUGGGCUCCCAUGGAGGAUGACCUGAUCGAGAGAAAGGAGGACAGGAAAGCCGUGGCAGCCCUCAUGCGCGCCACGCCACCGGAGAUGCACGGCAUGCUCGCGGCGAAGGCAAGCGCCAAGGAGGCGUGGGAAGCCAUCCGUACCCAGCGCCUCGGCAGCAACCGCGUGCGCGAGGCGAACGCGCAGAAGCUGCGGGCGGACUUCGAGAACAUCGCCUUCAAGGAGGGCGAGCUCGUCGAUGAAUUCGCCAUGCGGAUCUCCAGCCUUGCGUCACAGCUCCGCGCGCUCGGCGACACCAUGGACGACGCGAGAGUCGUGCGGAAAUUUCUUUGCGUCAUGCCAUCUCGCUUCGCUAAGGUAGCGGUCUCCAUCGAGACCUUGCUUGAUCUGAGUGAGCUCUCCGUCGAGGAGCUCACGGGCCGGUUGCGGGUGGUCGAGGACCGUCUUGACGACGGCCGCGAGAGCUUCGGCGGUGGACAACUCCUAUUCUCAAAGAAGUGGGAGGCGAGGAAGCGUCAAGGACGUGGUGGCGGUGCCCAGAGCAGCAGAGGCGGCGGUCGCACCCAGGGUGGAGCCGGGCGAGGUGCCGGCAACGACGACUGA
rnacentral:rRNA from 1 species